UACGGAAUGUGCAAACGUUAUUCGGAAUCACUGGGCUUAAAGGGCGCGUAGGCGGGCUACCAAGUCUGUGGUGAAAUCCUCCAGCUCGACUGGAGAACGGCCGUGGAUACUGGGAGCCUCGAGGGAGAUAGGGGCAGGCGGAACUGAUGGUGGAGCGGUGAAAUGCGUUGAUAUCAUCAGGAACUCCGGUGGCGAAGGCGGCAUCCUGGACCGGUAUUGACGCUGAGGCGCGAAAGCCAGGGGAGCAAACGGG
rnacentral:rRNA from 1 species